GCCCCCAUAGCUCAGCGGAUUCAGAGCACUUCGCUUCGGACGAAGGGGUCGGGAGUUCGAAUCUCUCUGGGGGCG
rnacentral:tRNA from 1 species